AUGGAGCCGGCCCGGUUCUACAACGCCGGUCCUGGGGUUCUAACGGCGGAACGCGGGAAGGAUGAUGGACGAUUAUGACAAGGUGGGCGACGCUGAUAAUGAUUGCGAUGGCGUCGAUAUUGAAAAAGAGCAAGUUGCUGCAGGGAGCAAAAAUCUUCUUGAAAAUGGGUCUCAGGAACACCUCUCACCUGGUGCAGAUUCGGGAGGGAGCUGAAUGGAAGCCUGCCUUCAAUACACUGCAUGGGCUCUACAAAUAUCAGACUGUCUACAAAGCCACUACAACAGGGCCCACUCCAAGACAAGAAAUACAGAGGAAAGGUGCUUUGCAGUCCUUAAGAGGAGCUGAGGAUGAAGCCUGAC